GCCCCUACUUACUCUAGGACUUGAGGAGUCUCUGGCCCUCUGAGGAAGCCAGACUACGAAGGAGACUAGUGCAAAGAUGAGGCAGGGGGAAGGCAGCCUGAGAGGAGCAGAACAACUUUGAUUUUUAGUUUUACGGGCUUUACUCUUCUCGCGCGCUCCCCUUCCCCAAAACAACUUUCCCUUCCGGGGUCAGGCUGGACCGCCCCGAGGCGUACCUUGCGCGCUGUGGGCGCCCGGAGCUACGGGAUGCGGCGUGGCGGUGAAGCGUCCCCACCGUGCAGGCUGCUGCUUUCCUGGCCACUUGUGUGCUCGCUGUUGACAGAAGCCCCAGAGUGUGAGUCCCGCAAGGCGGCCCGGCCCUAGCCGUGCCCUCUGGUUCGCGGGCACCGCCUGCAGGCUGUGUAACCUGGGAGCACAUCUUCAGUAAUCAUUGUUUAUAUAUAUAGUAAAAGGAAACCCCCCAUGCCACCAAAAGCAUAGGAAAGCAAGAGCCUAAGAGAAUCUCAUAGGUGGGGAUGUACCCCAGCAGGGGCUCAAACGUAAAAAUGAGCUGGCAAAGAAACCCACUUUGUGCCACCUUUAGUAAAAAGCUGUGGCUCCUGAGAGUCUGAGUCUGCCACUGUAGUAAGCAAGCCACUGUCUUUGCAAGUUUUUCAAAUGCAAAAGCAAGGAAGGGAAGGAAAAGAGAAAGGAAGCCUCCCUCAUUUUAAUCUUCUAUUGACUUCCAGAGAGUAUCACACUAGAUUAUUUUAAUAGACACCAAAUGUGUUUUAA